GACGAACGCUGGCGGCGUGCCUAAUACAUGCAGGUCGAGCGAAUGGAUUAAGAGCUUGCUCUUAUGAAGUUAGCGGCGGACGGGUGAGUAACACGUGGGUAACCUGCCCAUAAGACUGGGAUAACUCCGGGAAACCGGGGCUAAUACCGGAUAACGUUUUGAACCGCAUGGUUCGAAAUUGAAAGGCGGCUUCGGCUGUCACUUAUGGAUGGACCCGCGUCGCAUUAGCUAGUUGGUGAGGUAACGGCUCACCAAGGCAACGAUGCGUAGCCGACCUGAGAGGGUGAUCGGCCACACUGGGACUGAGACACGGCCCAGACUCCUACGGGAGGCAGCAGUAGGGAAUCUUCCGCAAUGGACGAAAGUCUGACGGAGCAACGCCGCGUGAGUGAUGAAGGCUUUCGGGUCGUAAAACUCUGUUGUUAGGGAAGAACAAGUGCUAGUUGAAUAAGCUGGCACCUUGACGGUACCUAACCAGAAAGCCACGGCUAACUACGUGCCAGCCGCCGCGGUAA
rnacentral:rRNA from 1 species